rnacentral:rRNA from 1 species
GACGAACGCUGGCGGCGUGCCUAAUACAUGCAAGUUGAGCGAUGAAGAUUGGUGCUUGCACCAAUUUGAAGAGCAGCGAACGGGUGAGUAACGCGUGGGGAAUCUGCCUUUGAGCGGGGGACAACAUUUGGAAACGAAUGCUAAUACCGCAUAACAACUUUAAACAUAAGUUUUAAGUUUGAAAGAUGCAAUUGCAUCACUCAAAGAUGAUCCCGCGUUGUAUUAGCUAGUUGGUGAGGUAAAGGCUCACCAAGGCGAUGAUACAUAGCCGACCUGAGAGGGUGAUCGGCCACAUUGGGACUGAGACACGGCCCAAACUACUACGGGAGGCAGCAGUAGGGAAUCUUCGGCAAUGGACGAAAGUCUGACCGAGCAACGCCGCGUGAGUGAAGAAGGUUUUCGGAUCGUAAAACUCUGUUGGUAGAGAAGAACGUUGGUGAGAGUGGAAAGCUCAUCAAGUGACGGUAACUACCCAGAAAGGGACGGCUAACUAC